UUUACCUAAGAGUUGCAGUCUUGGCUUGUGUGAAUAAUGACAGCAGGACUGUUCAUUAUCAGUCACAUUAUUCUCUUUUAUGAUAGUAUACGUUUCUGAUCCUAUGAACACUUGCCAAAGUUAGCUUAUAAGAGUUUAAGGGGUGCGCUAGUUGGGUUGGUGAUACAAGUAUUCUGGCGUUUUAUUUUCAUUAGUAGUAGUGACUGUAACUAACAUUUGGUAGCAACUGGUUAUUGUGCGAUGUUGUCCGUCAUAAAUACCCAGGGAAAAGCUUUAGGACAGGGGAGUCAGAUGGGUGUAGUUGAAAGGAUUAAUGAAAGCAUUAACACAGUAGUCCCCACUCGUCUGCGGUUUUGUUUUCCGUGGCUUCAGUGACCCAUGGUCCGAAAAUAUUACAUGGGAAAUUCCAGAAUUAAACAAUUUGAAAGUUUGAAAUUACGCGCGCGUGGCUCUGAGCAGCGUGUGGAAAUCUCGCGCUAUCUGCUCUAUCCUGCCCGGGAAGUGAAUCGUCCCUGGCCUGCAGCGCGUGCGAGCUGUGUACGCUGCCCGCCCGCCUGUGUUUUCAGAUCUACUGCUCCGGUAUUGUAGUGCCUGUGUUCAAGUAACCUUCAUUUUACUCAGUGAUGGUCCCAAGGCACAAGAACAGUGAUGGUGGCAAUUAGGAUAUGCCAGAGAGAAGCCACAAAGCUCUCUUAAGUGGAAAGGUGAAAGUUUUCAAUUUCGUAAGGAAAGGAAAACCCAUCGAAUGCUGAGGCUGCAAAGAUCAAAGGACACCUGGGGUCUGCAGAGCACAGUUUGAAAACCCCUGAGCUUGUCCACCUCACCCCACUUUAUAGUUGGUAAAAACCUGGACCCAGACAUAAAGUGACUUAUCAGAAGUCGGGCAAAGAACUUGCAUUGGAAUUGAGAUCCAAUCCCUGGUCUUUGGACUCCAAACAAGAGCAGCAUUGUAGUAGCCAAGUGCCCUGAAGGAUUUGACACGACAGCAAGAGUUUCCAGCUAGAGACAGUUAUUGAGCCAGGUUUUUCAAGAAAUGAUCUGGAACCCCCAGCUUCCGGACAGCCUUCUCUAGAAGGUGGAUAUCGGAAAGGCCUGGCCCUUGAAGUGAGCUGUGAGUCAUGAGCCGUGAUCCGCUACGUCUGCUUUUCUUUCUGUCUGCAUGUCUUUCUGCCUCCCUUAGCUUUCUCCUUCCUUUUAUCAUGAUUUUCUUCCAGCUCUAUUCCCUUUCUCUGCAUUUCUGUCUUGUUAUGGGAGAGCUAUUAAAACCUUCUGUCUCUGGGAAGUUGUGAAGAAUGAUGCAUGGCUAAGCUGUGUUAUCUAGGGAAGCCAUGAAAAUCCCAUCUCUGGAGAGUUUAAAAAGGAGUGUCAAUAUGAGAUGAAUGUAUGUAAUGAUCUGUCUUGAAGAGGCUGGAGCUUGAGUUACAACCAUUCGAGCUGUGGGUGCAACACUCACCCCAUUCCUCACAUCAAAGAUGAAUUCCACCUGUGGAUUCCAGCCUAGGAAAGAAGACGAGACACGGUGUCUCCUUCACUCUUGGUCUCACCCAUAAGCCUUCCUUUUCCUCCAGGAAGCCGGACUUUCCUGUGUUUGCAGGCUUUUUCUGGAGUGGGUUUGAUAUCCGAUGAUAAAGAAGGAAUACUUAGUACUAUGAUAUAAAGGGUUUCCUGUAGUUUGCAUCCUUGUUUGUGCAACAAGUAUUUAUUGAUUGUCUCCUGUGGAAUUGCCUGUCAGGCACUGGGGUUGGGACUGGCUACACAAAGAGAAGUAAGAUGGAUUUUUUCCCCCUAAGAUGCUUACUGUCUAGUGGAGGUAAGACUCACUACAUAAUUUUCAAGUUUGCACAAUUUGUGAGGUACAAAAUGAAAAUUCAGCGCUCUUUGCUGAAAAGUUAUUAAGAAACUCACUAUUUGACAGUAGAACACUAAGCCAGGUAGCCUUCUGUCACACUGCACAGGUAGAAGGCCCAUGAGGCUGGCCGGGAG